AAUGAACGUUGGCGGCAUGGAUUAGGCAUGCAAGUCGAGCGAGAAGUGUAGCAAUACACGGAAAGCGGCGGAAGGGAGAGUAAUACGUGGGAAUCUGCCCUUAGACCUGGGAUAGCAGCGGGAAACUGCUGGUAAUACCAGAUAAUGUCUAUGGACCAAAGGUGUGAUUCCGUCUAGGGAUGAGCCCACGUCCUAUUAGCUAGUUGGUAGGGUAAUGGCCUACCAAGGCGAUGAUGGGUAGCGGGUGUGAGAGCAUGACCCGCCUCACUGGGACUGAGCAACUGCCCAGACACCUACGGGUGGCUGCAGUCGAGAAUCUUCGGCAAUGGGCGCAAGCCUGACCGAGCGAUGCCGCGUGCGGGAUGAAGGCCUUAGGGUUGUAAACCGCUGUCGAGGGGGAGCAACUUCCAUAGAGUUAUCUUUAUGGAUUGAGUGAUCCCUGGAGGAAGGACGGGCUAAGUUCGUGCCAGCCGCCGCCGUAAUAC
rnacentral:rRNA from 1 species